GACCCUACGGGGCGCAGCAGUGGGGAAUAUUGCACAAUGGGGGAAACCCUGAUGCAGCGACGCCGCGUGAAGGAAGAAGUAUUUCGGUAUGUAAACUUCUAUCAGCAGGGAAGAAAAUGACGGUACCUGAGUAAGAAGCCCCGGCUAACUACGUGCCAGCAGCCGCGGUAAUACGUAGGGGGCAAGCGUUAUCCGGAUUUGCUGGGUGUAAAGGGAGCGUAGACGGCAGUGCAAGUCUGGAGUGAAAGGCGGGGGCUCAACCCCCG
rnacentral:rRNA from 1 species